rfam:Myotis lucifugus cont2.277, whole genome shotgun sequence.
GCCAGUGUUGCUCAGCGGUUAGAGCAUCAGCCCAUGCACUGAAGGAUCACAGGUUCGAUUCCUGGUCAAGGGCA